AUUGAACGCUGGCGGCAGGCCUAACACAUGCAAGUCGAGCGAGCGGCGGACGGGUGAGUAAUGUCUGGGAACAUGCCGGAUGGAGGGGGAUAACAACUGGAAACGGUAGGUCAUACCGCAUACAACCAGAUGAACCCAUAUGGGAUUAGCUUGUAGGUUGGGUAACGGCGCACCUAGGCGCCGAUCCCUAGCGGGUAUGAGAGGAUGAUCAGCCACACUGGGACUGAGACACGGCCCAGACUCCUACGGGAGGCAGCAGUGGGGAAUAUUGCACAAUGGGCGCAAGCCUGAUGCAGCCAUGCCGCGUGUAUGAAGAAGGCCUUCGGGUUGUAAAGUACUUUCAGUCGGGAGGCGUUACCGACAGAAGAAGCACCGGCUAACUCCGUGCCAGCAGCCGCGGUAAUAC
rnacentral:rRNA from 1 species